CAACUUCUUAAUUAUCCUACUGUUUGGACCGUGCAUAUGCAGAAGAGAUCUUAAUAUUUUUGAAGCAACCUGUAUUGCAUUCUUGGUUGGACUAGACAAGGUUCCAGAUAUAUACCUGCCAACCAGGGGUAAAAAUUCUUCCAAAAUACCAUAGAAUGUAUCCAUGGUACAAGAAGAAUUAUGUUUAUGUAGAGAUUUUUUUCCCUACGCAUAUAUUAUUCCUUUUUAAGUAAAGAUUUAUUUGAGUUGUUUCAAGCCUUAGUCCUGGCAAGGCUCGCUUUGUAGUAACCCGUAUUAUCUGAACUAUUAGUACGUUCCUGAAGCUGAAUAUGUGGAUAGAAUGAGUGUGAA